rnacentral:rRNA from 1 species
GAUGAACGCUAGCUACAGGCUUAACACAUGCAAGUCGAGGGGCAGCGGGAUUGAAGCUUGCUUCAAUUGCCGGCGACCGGCGCACGGGUGAGUAACGCGUAUCCAACCUUCCGUACACUCAGGGAUAGCCUUUCGAAAGAAAGAUUAAUACCUGAUGGUAUGAUGAGAUUGCAUGAUAGCAUCAUUAAAGAUUUAUCGGUGUACGAUGGGGAUGCGUUCCAUUAGGUAGUAGGCGGGGUAACGGCCCACCUAGCCAACGAUGGAUAGGGGUUCUGAGAGGAAGGUCCCCCACAUUGGAACUGAGACACGGUCCAAACUCCUACGGGAGGCAGCAGUGAGGAAUAUUGGUCAAUGGACGAGAGUCUGAACCAGCCAAGUAGCGUGAAGGAUGGAGGUCCUACGGAUUGUAAACUUCUUUUAUAAGGGAAUAAACCCUCCCACGUGUGGGAGCUUGUAUGUACCUUAUGAAUAAGCAUCGGCUAACUCCGUGCCAGCAGCCGCGGUAAUACGGAGGAUGCGAGCGUUAUCCGGAUUUAUUGGGUUUAAAGGGAGCGCAGACGGGUCGUUAAGUCAGCUGUGAAAGUUUGGGGCUCAACCUUAAAAUUGCAGUUGAUACUGGCGUCCUUGAGUGCGGUUGAGGUGUGCGGAAUUCGUGGUGUAGCGGUGAAAUGCUUAGAUAUCACGAAGAACUCCGAUUGCGAAGGCAGCACACUAAUCCGUAACUGACGUUCAUGCUCGAAAGUGUGGGUAUCAAACAGGAUUAGAUACCCUGGUAGUCCACACGGUAAACGAUGGAUACUCGCUGUUGGCGAUAUACUGUCAGCGGCUUAGCGAAAGCGUUAAGUAUCCCACCUGGGGAGUACGCCGGCAACGGUGAAACUCAA